GAUUAGGGUUGUGCCACGGGAGAGACUCACCCACUGCAUCCACGCUGAGCUCCCGCCUGUGCCUGGUGCGGUUGGUGGCAGCGUCCAGGACAAGAACGUGGAGCUGGGUGAAGAGCCGCACAUCUUGGCUGGGGAACACGCAGAUGUGCCGCAUCCCAUUGGCCCCACGGCGCUGUGUGGAGACUGCACAUAUGGGGUGAACUGGAGCAUCACACCUUACUGCUGUGCUGCUGGCUGAUCCCAGAUGAAAGGAAUGAUCACAGGGAUGCCAAAGUCUCCAGAUAUCUGCCAGGUGUUCCCCCCUGUUCUCCCUGCCCCUUACCUUGCCCUGACCCCUUGCCCUGUUCCUCCUUUCCCAGAUGGCAUCUUCUUCCUCCCACCCAUAUGCUCUGCCCGCAGACCACAGCCUGCUCUCUCCUACCUGCCCUUCCCUUUUUGCACCCCCAGCCACCCCAGCCUCUCUUGCCCUUCCCUGGCAGUGCCCCCCACCCAGCCCCAGGGUGGCACUGCCUCUGCUCUGCCAUGCCUUGUGGUUCCCAGAGCACCCUCAAGGCACAGCUCUGCAGCUGGCACAAAGCAAGCUCAGGCAUCGCGCUGGCACUGUAGCAGUGGUUUCUGGGCACAGAAGCAAAAGGUGAGCCCAAAGCCUCCUUUCCUACCCCCGCACCUGUAGGGGUGGUUUAAAGGGUGCUCCUAUGACCACUAUAGCAGUCUGACCACAGAUCUUGGAUGAGUGCGAAAACAGGAGCAUGACAUUAAACGUUUUGUACAGUUAA